UCACCAUGGCCAAACAGCUGCAGGCCGGAAGACUCAAUGGGAUCACCACAACCCCUGGGUGGAAUUUGUCAAACUCUCCAGUGAGCCUGGCGUUGUGAACUUGGGGCAGGGAUUCCCCGACUUCGCACCCCCAGACUUCACUUUGGAAGCCUUUCGGCAUGCUGUCAGCGGGGACUUCAUGCUUAACCAGUACACCAAGGCAUUUGGUUACCCACCACUGACAGAGAUCCUGGCAAGUUUCUUUGGGAAACUGCUGGGCCAGGAGGUGGACCCACACAAGAAUGUGCUGGUGACUGUGGAAGCCUAUGGUGCCCUGUUCACAUCCUUCCAGGCCCUGGUGGAUGACGGUGAUGAGGUCAUCAUCACUGAACCCUCUUUUGACUGUUAUGAGCCCAUGACAUUGAUGGCAGGGGGUCAUCCUGUGUUUGUGUUCCUGAAGCCGAGUCCCAUCCAGGAUGGGGAACUAGAUUCCAGCAGCAACUGGAAGCUGGACCCCACAGAGCUGGCCAGCAAAUUCAGCCCUCGCACCAAAGCCCUGGUCCAUAACACACCCAACAACCCCCUAGGAAAGGUGUUCUCCAGGGAGGAGCUGGAGCUGGUGGCCAGCCUGUGCCAGCAGCACGGCGUGGUGUGCAUCACUGACAAGAUCUACCAGUGGCUGGUUUAUGACGGCCACAAGCACAUCAGCAUCGCCAGCUUCCCUGGCAUGUGGGACCGGACCCUGACCAUCGGCAGUGCUGGCAAGACCUUUAGUGCCACUGGCUGGAAGGUGGGCUGGGUCCUGGGUCCAGAUAACAUCAUGAAACACUUGCGGACUGUACACCAGAACUCUAUCUUCCACUGCCCCAUGCAGGGCCAGGCUGCAGUAGCCUGGAGCUUUGAGCGGGAGCAGGUGCACUUUGGCCAACCCAAUAGCUACUUUGUGGAGUUCCCAUAGGCCAUGCAGCGCAGGCAUGACCACAUGAUCCGCAGCCUGCAGUCAGUGGGCCUGAAGCCCAUGAUCCCCCAGGGCAGCUACUUCCUCAUCACAGACAUCUCAGACUUCAAGAGAAGGAUGCCUGACUUGCCUGGCACUGCAGAUGAGCCCUACGACAGCAGCUUCGUCAAGUGGAUGAUCAAAAACAAGGGCUUGGCAUCCAUCCCUGUGUCCAUCUUCUACAGCGAGCCGCAUCUUAAGCUCUUUGACCACUAUAUCCGCUUCUGUUUUGUGAAGGAUGAAUCCAUGCUCCAGGCCAUGGAUGAGAAGCUGUAGAAGUGGAGAGCUGAGCUCAAGCCCUGA